rnacentral:rRNA from 1 species
UACGUAGGCAGCAAGCGUUGUUCGGAAUUACUGGGCGUAAAGAGUGUGUAGGCGGUGCUCCAAGUCUGGUGUGAAAUCCCCCGGCUUAACUGGGAGGGUGCAUUAGAAACUGGAAUGCUAGAGGAUGGGAGAGGUAAGCGGAAUUCCUGGUGUAGCGGUGAAAUGCGUAGAUAUCAGGAGGAACACCUGUGGUGUAGACAGCUUACUGGACCAUUUCUGACGCUGAGACACGAAAGCGUGGGUAGCAAA